rnacentral:rRNA from 1 species
GACGAAGGACCCAAGCGUUAUCCGGAUUCAUUGGGCGUAAAGGGUGCGUAGGCGGCGCGGUAAGUCGGGUGUGAAAUCUCGGAGCUUAACUCCGAAACUGCAUUCGAUACUGCCGUGCUUGAGGACUGGAGAGGAGACUGGAAUUUACGGUGUAGCGGUGAAAUGCGUAGAUAUCGUAAGGAAGACCAGUGGCGAAGGCGGGUCUCUGGACAGUUCCUGACGCUGAGGCACGAAGGUCAGGGGAGCAAACGGG